rnacentral:rRNA from 1 species
UACCCGCUGAACUUAAGCAUAUCAAUAAGCGGAGGAAAAGAAACCAACAGGGAUUGCCUCAGUAACGGCGAGUGAAGCGGCAACAGCUCAAAUUUGAAAUCUGGCUCUUUCAGGGUCCGAGUUGUAAUUUGUAGAGGAUGCUUCGGGCGUGGCGCGGGUCUAAGUUCCUUGGAACAGGACGUCAUAGAGGGUGAGAAUCCCGUAUGCGACCCAAUGCCUCCGUCCAUGUGAAGCUCCUUCGACGAGUCGAGUUGUUUGGGAAUGCAGCUCAAAAUGGGUGGUAAAUUUCAUCUAAAGCUAAAUAUUGGCCAGAGACCGAUAGCGCACAAGUAGAGUGAUCGAAAGAUGAAAAGCACUUUGGAAAGAGAGUUAAAAAGUACGUGAAAUUGUUGAAAGGGAAGCGCUUGCAACCAGACUUGCUCGCGGUUGCUCAGCCGGUGUUCUCACCGGUGCACUCUUCCGCGAUCAGGCCAGCAUCGGUUUGGGCGGCUGGAUAAAGGCCCCGGGAAUGUAGCUCCUCUCGGGGAGUGUUAUAGCCCGAGGUGCAAUGCAGCCUGCCCGGACCGAGGACCGCGCUUCGGCUAGGAUGCUGGCGUAAUGGUUGUAAGCGACCCGUCUUGAAACACGGACCAAGGAGUCUAACAUCUAUGCGAGUGUUUGGGUGUCAAACCCAUGCGCGUAAUGAAAGUGAACGGAGGUGGGAACCCUUAAGGGUGCACCAUCGACCGAUCCUGAUGUCUUCGGAUGGAUUUGAGUAAGAGCAUAGCUGUUGGGACCCGAAAGAUGGUGAACUAUGCCUGAAUAGGGUGAAGCCAGAGGAAACUCUGGUGGAGGCUCGCAGCGGUUCUGACGUGCAAAU